rnacentral:rRNA from 1 species
AGAACGAACGCUGGCGGCAGGCCUAACACAUGCAAGUCGAACGCCCCGCAAGGGGAGUGGCAGACGGGUGAGUAACGCGUGGGAACGUACCCUUCGGUUCGGAAUAACCCGGGGAAACUCGGGCUAAUACCGGAUACGUCCUGCCCCUUAAACAAGGGUGGGAGAAAGAUUUAUCGCCGAAGGAUCGGCCCGCGUUGGAUUAGCUAGUUGGCGGGGUAAUGGCCCACCAAGGCGACGAUCCAUAGCUGGUCUGAGAGGAUGAUCAGCCACACUGGGACUGAGACACGGCCCAGACUCCUACGGGAGGCAGCAGUGGGGAAUAUUGGACAAUGGGCGAAAGCCUGGAUCCAGCCAUGCCGCGUGAGUGAAGAAGGCCCGUAGGGUUGUAAAGCUCUUUCAGUCGGGAAGAGUAAUGAACGGUACCCGCAGAAGAAGCCCCGGACUAACGUUCGUCGCCAGCAGCCG